ACGCUGUCAAAUCGCCAUGAUGAAAAUCAACAGAGAAGAUUACAGAAGAAUUAAGGUAACCUACAUCUCUUUCCAAUUUCAGCUACCUCCAACACUCCACCAUGACGAGGACUCUGGCUAUUCUAGUACUCUUGUUUGGAGUGUCACUUGCUCUCUUCAAUGGUAUGAAUAGAAAUGGUUUGAACAACAAUGGGUUUAAUAAUAAUGGUUGGAACAACAAUGGUUGGAAUAACAAUGGUUGGAAUGGUUGGAAUAACAACGGUUGGAAUAACAAUGGCUGGAAUAAUAAUGGCAUGGGGAGAAUGAUGUACGGCUAGGAAAUUGGAGGGCACUGAUAGCAACCAAAUAAAGGGUUUUCUACAGAGACUUCAAAGUGUUCAAAAAGAUUAAUUUUGAAUAAAUUAUUCAAAUUUCUU